rnacentral:rRNA from 1 species
AACGAACGCUGGCGGCAUGCCUAACACAUGCAAGUCGAACGAGACCUUCGGGUCUAGUGGCGCACGGGUGCGUAACGCGUGGGAACCUGCCCUUAGGUUCGGAAUAACUCCCCGAAAGGGGUGCUAAUACCGGAUAAUGUCUUCGGACCAAAGAUUUAUCGCCUUUGGAUGGGCCCGCGUUGGAUUAGCUAGUUGGUAGGGUAAAAGCCUACCAAGGCGACGAUCCAUAGCUGGUCUGAGAGGAUGAUCAGCCACACUGGGACUGAGACACGGCCCAGACUCCUACGGGAGGCAGCAGUGGGUAAUAUUGGACAAUGGGCGAAAGGCUGAUCCAGCAAUGCCGCGUGAGUGAUGAAGGCCUUAGGGUUGUAAAGCUCUUUUACCCGGGAUGAUAAUGACAGUACCGGGAGAAUAAGCUCCGGCUAACUCCGUG